GGGGGCGUCAGGUUUCGACGUCGCCGGGAAGCUUCGAGAAGAAGCGGGCCGAGAACCGUCUGAGCAUCUCGUGAAUCAGUUCAGACACCAAGAGAUGCCACCGCAACUCGCAACGACUUCGCCCUCGCAGCCUGAUAGCCGCGAGAUCCUAUGGCGGGUCCGUCGCACCCCUCGACAGCAGCCGGAGCUCGGCUGAGGGGUCGGCGCCAGCAAAGGAGCCCCGUCACUCGACGCCCCGCCGGCGGCCCGAGACGACGUACCAGCCGGCUAGACCCGCUGGCCGAGCUGCUCACCGCGGACGCCAGGGUCGAGAAGCAGCCCACCGGUGAGCUACGCCCGUAGAAGAGACCGAACGUCCGCGACGGACCGGGGUUCGACUCCCCGCGUCUCCACAU
rnacentral:tmRNA from 1 species